rnacentral:lncRNA from 1 species
AACACACUCAUUUCUCUACACUUGAAACAACUUAUGAAAACGAUUUUCUCAAAACACCAAAGUUCUUAACAACAACAAUUCACUUCUUUCAAAACAAUUUAAUCAACAACAACAACUCAACUUAUCAACAUCCAAUUCAUGAAAUGACAUAAACAACAACACUCAACAACAAUCACAACUUAUAGUCAUGAAUUCAUCCACAAUUCAACAACACAAUAUCACAAUUCACCAAUUUGAGCAAAAUUCACAAAGUACCCAUUUCUAUAUCACCUAAGCAUGUAAAUUCAACAUCAAAAACUUAAUUAUCAUCAAAUUCACAUAUCCAAAAAUAGAAAUAACAUAAGAGCACAAAUUUCACCAAUUGAAUUCACAAUAAACACUUUUUCACAAAUAAGCACUUUUGAAUAAAAGUAGAAAAUAGAUUAUAACUUAAAGAUUAUGAUAGAACACUACCCCCCUUACCUCAAUUGAACAAAAACCUAGCACUAGCCUCAAUUUAGCUCCUUGAAUCUUUAUCCCCUUCUUGAUCUUCAAGCUAUCCUCUUCUAACCCUUUUUCUCUUCCUCUAGCUCCUUCUCUCUCUACCUCUCUCAAAAGUUAUGUGAAUGAAUGUGAAACCCUAUUUUCUCUAAAGACUAGAGUUUAUAUAGGCUCCACACUAAUGGGCUUAACCCUUAAAAUGUCUUAAUGGGCUCAAAGCUCUCAUUAACUAACUCACAAAGUUUCUAAUCAUUUACGGUUAAAAAUAACGAAUAGUUACCGGCUCUUAACUAAGUAAAAAUAUUAGUUCUCACUUGAAACACUAAAAAUAAUCCUCACAGUGAAAUUACCAAUUUACCCUUUCUCACACAAUUACCUCAAUACCCUAAGUCUAAAAUGACUAAAAUACCCUUCUAACACCGAAUUCUAAUAAUCCCAACCAAAAUACACACAUAGGCAAUUAUUCGCAUACAAGCACAUAUAAUAAUGAAUUAAAAUUAAUUUAACGAAAAUUGGGCUGUUACAGAUCUCAUGUGUCAAAGAGCUGAAAAUGGUUGAUAACUAGGGGAUGAUGAUGUAGAUGGUGGCAGGAGCAAUGCAGAUAAUGCAUGCAUCUCAAAGACAGGUUAUGAAUCAGAAUUAGCAACAUCAGAUUCUUUCCAAAUUUUUAUAAACACUUCGUCAAUAAACCCACACAACUCAACCCACCCACCCCGUAUGUUUUUCUCACCUUCAGUAUUGCAUUUAAUCAUUUAUGAUGUCACGAAUUUAAUCUUAUAAAUUUGUCAAAAGAAAUUUAUCCUAUGAUACUUUUAAUGUACAAAUAAAUAUUUUGUCACCUAAUUUGAUGCAUAAUUUUUAAAGCUUAUUUUUUUAGCAUACAUCAAUCUUUUCAUAUUUUUCCAUUGUUUAUCAUCAAAAUCUCAAAUAAUAAGAAAAUCUAUUGGAAUUUAAUAAGGUUGGGUGAUCAAUUAAGUGAGCUAAAGGGUAAAUACGACAUAUUGACCUUUCUUAGCCACAUUUAACAAAAUUGAUUUAUUAAUGGUUUCUUUCAGCACCUAAAGGGUAAAAACUAUUAACUUGAAAUUAACAAAGCGAAUAUUUUACUUAUAAAGUGUUGAAAUAAGUUUCAAGUUGUUACUUGGAAAGGAGGAAAAAUAUGGACCAAAUUUCCAAGUCUUUUUAUGCAUUGAUGAUAUUUCUUUCUCUAAUUCUUGUUGUAACCA